UCAGAUUUUUAGGGUUCAUAGAGGGU
rnacentral:piRNA from 1 species